rnacentral:rRNA from 1 species
UGCGUAGGCGGUUGACUAAGUCUGGUGUAAAAUCCCACAGCUUAACUGUGGAGGGUCAUUGGAAACUGGUUAACUAGAGUACGGUAGAGGUAAGCGGAAUUCCAAGUGGAGCGGUAAAAUGCGUAGAUAUUUGGAGGAACACCGGUGGCGAAGGCGACUUACUGGGCCGGAACUGACGCUGAUGCACGAAAGCGUGGGGAGCAAACA